UUUUGUUAGGGUUUGGGGGUCUUUGGAAGAAUUAGUUUCAUUCCCUUCACUUUUCAGAAAGUGAGCGCCGACCUCCCACCCCCACUUCCCACUUCCUCUCUCAAGUUCUCCAUACCUCCCUGUUCCGCCGCCCACCUCGCUACCUCCGGCGCCCCAAUCGCCGAGCCCUCCCGGACUCCAUCUCUCUCGUUGCUCCUUCUCUCUUGCCCUCCCAUUGCCGCUCGUCUCCUCUCCUCAAUAACAUCCAACACCGUACAUCGCCGCCUCCGCUUCCCCAUCGCCGUCGCGCAUUUAGAGUGUUUGUUCAAAGAAAAGACAAUAUGAUCCGAUUGAUUAUGAGUGUAUAGACAAAGUAGAGUUUUGGGUGAUUGAUGAAGAUGCUAAUGAAGAGCUUGAUUAUGAGGAGUUGGAGGAAAUGUUAGAUGAAUAACAAGCAAAAGAUUUGAUGAUGAUGGAAAUACUGGUAGCAUCAACGAUGGUUCUUGUGACUUGAGUUGCAUUAAGUUUGAAGUUGGAAAUGAAAGUGAUUGAGAUGAUCACUAAGUAUUUUGUUUUGAGUUCGUAGCUUGGUAUUUUGAUAAAGACUUAUGUAUUUUGAUAAAGACUGGUAUAUUUAGAUAUUUAAACUUAUUGGUCUUGUUUAUUUUGGUAUUUGAACUUAUUGGUAUUGUAAUGCAAGCUGACCAGCAUAGCAUGGCAUGGCAGUGUAUCGGAAAAUACUUAAGAUGCAUUGCGUGGCACCAAAUAUGCCAUUUUUGAUA